rnacentral:rRNA from 1 species
AGUGAACGCUGGCGGUAGGCCUAACACAUGCAAGUCGAACGGCAGCACAGAGGAGCUUGCUCCCUGGGUGGCGAGUGGCGGACGGGUGAGGCAUACAUCGGAAUCUACUCUGUCGUGGGGGAUAACGUAGGGAAACUUACGCUAAUACCGCAUACGACCUACGGGCGAAAGCAGGGGACCUUCGGGCCUUGCGCGAUUGAAUGAGCCGAUGUCGGAUUAGUUAGUUGGCGGGGUAAAGGCCCCCCAAGGCGACAAUCCGUAGCUGGUCUGAGAUGAUGAACAGGCAGACUGGAACUUAGACACGGUCCAGACUCCUACGGGAGACAGCAGUGGGGAAUAUUGGACAAUGGGCGCUAGCCUCAUCCAGCCAUACCGCGUGGGUGAAGUAGGCCUUCGGGUUUUAAAGCCCUUUUGUUGGGAAAGAAAUCCAGCUGGCUAAUACCCGAUUGGGAUGACUGUACCCAAAGAAUAAGCACCGGCUAACUUCGUGCCAGCCGCCGCAGUAA